UACGUAGGGUGCGAGCGUUGUCCGGAAUUAUUGGGCGUAAAGAGCUCGUAGGCGGUGUGUCGCGUCGGCCGUGAAAACCUGCAGCUUAACUGUGGGCUUGCGGUCGAUACGGGCAUCACUGGAGUUCGGCAGGGGAGACUGGAAUUCCUGGUGUAGCGGUGAAAUGCGCAGAUAUCAGGAGGAACACCGGUGGCGAAGGCGGGUCUCUGGGCAGUAACUGACGCUGAAGAGCGAAAGCCAGGGGAGCGAACGGG
rnacentral:rRNA from 1 species